CAGAUCGACUGGAAUCAUGCUUUCUACAGUGGGCACCGCGUAUGGUUAACGCAGUGGGAAAUUGUCUACGGUUUGGAGGCCUUGCGUCCUUUAAAACGAGGGAGACAGCUAUAUAGAUCAAAUGCAUUUGUAUGUGUUGGUCCGCAAAACCAAAGAAGAGCAAGUAAAGUUAUAUCAAAUAUGGAAAAGAUACGAUACAAUUGUAACCUCACGGAGCAUAGUCAUCUGGUUUUCGGUGCCCGUGGGGGCUGUUUUAUGAUUUAUUUGUAGCAAACUUAGCAUAGCAUCGGGACAAAUUGUGUGAUCGACUCGAACGGACUCCUAUGAGCAGUAAACGCGGGUAGUGGGAACGGGA